rnacentral:pre_miRNA from 1 species
GUUGGAUUCGGGGCCGUAGCACUGUCUGAGAGGUGUAUAUUUCUCACAGUGAACCGGUCUCUUUUUCAGC